rnacentral:rRNA from 1 species
AAACAGACSAAUUAASGCUUAACGAGCGAGACCUGGGCGUGCUAAAUAGGGUUCAUUAUUCUUGUAAUAGUGAUUCAACUCUUCUUAGACGGACUGUAGGCUUUUAGUCUAUGGAAGCUCCAGGCAACAGGUCUGUG